GUGAUAAAAACUAAACCCUAAGUUUCCCUAACACACUCACUCUCACUCUUCACAGAAUCAGCCGCCACGCCUUCUACUCCGAGAGAGAGCUCUGCUAGGGUUCAGCCGCUUUUUCGCAUCCAGUGGGCUCGAACUAAUUUUUCGCUUCUCUUCCUAAGCAUGCCCUAGAGCCGUGGUGUCCGUGGUUGCUGUUGAGUUCCUGUACUAGCAUAUUCCAGGCGUGAACAGUGGCAAACACUGAUAAUCUCGCCCAAGCGACCUCACUUCGCUCAGGCGAGAUGAGCAGAGGCUCGCCCAGGGCUUUCUGCGCGAGUUGUCGCCCAGGCGACUAAAACUCGUUUUGAGCGAGCAGAUGUCUCGCUUAGGCGAAGGGGAUCUCGCCUAAGCGAGAUUGUGCAGGGGCUACUGUUCUUCAGGUCGAGCUCUCGCCUAGGCGGAGGGGAACUCGCCUGAGCCAGAGUCAUUCUCGCUUGAGCGAGACCCUCCAGCCUGAGCGAGGAGCUGGGCGAGGUUGCGUCCUGAUGCAUGUGGUCACAAAUUUGGCAUGAGCAACAAUGGACAUUGAUGGUUGGUAAACCAGUGGCAUGGUGUUGGUAUGAGAGGAAACAUUUUACUCAUGAUUGGUUAUGGAUGUUGGUAUGAAAUUUAUGUGUAAUGUAUGUGUAAAUUCUUGGCUACUUAUAUAUGUUGGUCCGUGUCAGUGCGUAAUUCCUUGGAGUCUCUAGGUGAGACUUUCAGGGUCGCGCUUCAGUGGU